GACAGAGGUGCCGAGCGUUAGGCGGAAUCACUGGGCUUAAAGCGUGUGUAGGCGGACUUCUAAGUACCUUGUGAAAUCCCACGGCUCAACCGUGGAACUGCUUGGUAUACUGGUUGUCUUGAGCCACUUAGGGGCAGUCGGAACAGACGGUGGAGCGGUGAAAUGCGUAGAUAUCGUAAGGAAGACCAGUGGCGAAGGCGGGUCUCUGGACAGUUCCUGACGCUGAGGCACGAAGGCCAGGGGAGCAAACGGG
rnacentral:rRNA from 1 species